rnacentral:rRNA from 1 species
AAAAAAGGUAAGCUACUAAGAGCGAAUGGUGGAUGCCUUGACUGGUAAAGGCGAUGAAGGACGUACUAGACUGCGAUAAGCUACGGGGAGCUGUCAAGAAGCUUUGAUCCGUAGAUUUCCGAAUGGGGCAACCCAAUGUAUAGAGAUAUACAUUACCUAUAUAGGAGCGAACGAGGGGAAUUGAAACAUCUUAGUACCCUCAGGAAAAGAAAUCAAUAGAGAUUGCGUCAGUAGCGGCGAGCGAAAGCGCAAGAGGGCAAACCCAGUGCUUGCACUGGGGGUUGUAGGACUGCAAUGUGCAAGAGGUGAGUUUAGCAGAACAUUCUGGAAAGUAUAGCCAUAGAGGGUGAUAGUCCCGUAUGCGAAAAACAAACCUUAGCUAGCAGUAUCCUGAGUAGGGCGGGACACGAGAAAUCCUGUCUGAAGCUGGGUCGACCACGAUCCAACCCUAAAUACUAAUACCAGAUCGAUAGUGCACAAGUACCGUGAGGGAAAGGUGAAAAGAACUGAGGUGAUCAGAGUGAAAUAGAACCUGAAACCAUUUGCUUACAAUCAUUCAGAGCCCUAUGUAGCAAUACAGGGUGAUGGACUGCCUUUUGCAUAAUGAGCCUGCGAGUUGUGGUGUCUGGCAAGGUUAAGCAAACGCGAAGCCGUAGCGAAAGCGAGUCUGAAUAGGGCGCUUAGUCAGAUGCUGCAGACCCGAAACGAAGUGAUCUAUCCAUGAGCAAGUUGAAGCUAGUGUAAGAACUAGUGGAGGACUGAACCCAUAGGCGUUGAAAAGCCCCGGGAUGACUUGUGGAUAGGGGUGAAAGGCCAAUCAAACUUCGUGAUAGCUGGUUCUCUCCGAAAUAUAUUUAGGUAUAGCGUUGUGUCGUAAUAUAAGGGGGUAGAGCACUGAAUGGGCUAGGGCAUACACCAAUGUACCAAACCCUAUCAAACUCCGAAUACCUUAUAUGUAAUCACAGCAGUCAGGCGGCGAGUGAUAAAAUCCGUCGUCAAGAGGGAAACAACCCAGACUACCAGCUAAGGUCCCUAAAUCUUACUUAAGUGGAAAACGAUGUGAAGUUACUUAAACAACCAGGAGGUUGGCUUAGAAGCAGCCAUCCUUUAAAGAAAGCGUAAUAGCUCACUGGUCUAGUGAUUUUGCGCGGAAAAUAUAACGGGGCUAAAGUAAGUACCGAAGCUGUAGACUUGCGCACAACUUAGAUUAUUUAAGUUUAGAAUAUGAGAAACUAAGUUAUAUGUUUAGUUAUAUUUUUACUGAUUUUUAUAGAGUAAAGAUAGAAAUAAAACUUAGUAAAAUCAGUAAAAAUAUUCUUAGACUAAAGUUAAGUAGUUUAAGUUGUGUGCAAGUGGUAGGAGAGCGUUCUAUUUGCGUCGAAGGUAUACCGGUAAGGAGUGCUGGAGCGAAUAGAAGUGAGCAUGCAGGCAUGAGUAGCGAUAAUUAAUGUGAGAAUCAUUAACGCCGUAAACCCAAGGUUUCCUACGCGAUGCUCGUCAUCGUAGGGUUAGUCGGGUCCUAAGUCGAGUCCGAAAGGGGUAGACGAUGGCAAAUUGGUUAAUAUUCCAAUACCAACAUUAGUGUGCGAUGGAAGGACGCUUAGGGCUAAGGGGGCUAGCGGAUGGAAGUGCUAGUCUAAGGUCGUAGGAGGUUAUACAGGCAAAUCCGUAUAACAAUACUCCGAGAACUGAAAGGCUUUUUGAAGUCUUCGGAUGGAUAGAAGAACCCCUGAUGCCGUCGAGCCAAGAAAAGUUUCUAAGUUUAGCUAAUGUUGCCCGUACCGUAAACCGACACAGGUGGGUGGGAUGAGUAUUCUAAGGCGCGUGGAAGAACUCUCUUUAAGGAACUCUGC